GGUGAGAUAUGUUGUAAUAGCCAUUAUGAGUAAAAGAAAUAAUACAGUAUCAUGAAAUAUAUCAUGCGACAAGAAAGAACAUACACAUAGAAUGAUAAUCCAAUUCGGUUAAACAACCUACGUCUGGGGGCGAAAGUUAUCCACUAUAUGAAGUUAUCACCAACGGUAGACAAUUGAAAGCUAGACAACGACUAUCUUCCUAGGCGCGCCUAAUCCCUUGAGAAACAAGAACCAAAUAAAGAAUAGUUUAUAACUCUUUUACAAUAUACGCUCAAGUGUAUGCCUCACAAACUCUCUUCUGCUAGAACAAAAAAAAGUAAUAUAUCAGAAACUAUACUACAGACUGCAACAAGUCCGAAUGAACACCUAACAUGAACAAGAUUUUUUGACUACAUGGCGAGAGCAAUUAAG
rnacentral:lncRNA from 1 species